rnacentral:lncRNA from 1 species
GUGUGGACAGCCUACACCAAGGGAAGAGUCAGGGGAGAAGGAACACAAGACUCCGGAAGCAUGCCAGCGUAUAAAACCACACUUUGCCUCAUUGGUUCGUGCCUCAGCUUCCAAUCUGGACAUGGAGCACAAUAACAGUGGGCCCACUGCUCUCCGAAUUCCUGCGCGCACUUGAAGAAUCAGAAAUAACACAAACCACUGCAGGGUAAUUUUGAAUGCUCAUUUGACUAUGCAGUGACAUCAAGUGGCGAGUUGAGGAAUGAUCAUAUGCUGUGUGAGAACUCCGUGUUAAAAAUUCCAUGGAGCCAGGCUAGACACCACAUUUGGCACUUUCAGCUGUUUAGAUUUCAGAGAAUUAAAAGGAAAUGGUCACCGACCUGCCUUUGAUAGUACCCGUAUACCCCUUCCCACCAUAAGAAACCAGCGUUCCUUAGAGAAAUGGCUAAUUCUAGCUCUAGGGCAAGAAAUGCUAAGAUGUGCUCAAAACAUCUCAUUAUACCAGCAAGCCAGGGAGCCAUCAACGACUACUGGAGCUGUGUCAAAAGGACCAACAAACCAACUUGAAGAGGCUCCCGCUGGCCAACAGUGGGGCAAUUAGAGCAUCAAUAAGAAUAAUAUCUGUAACAAACUGAAACGUAUCAAAUAUGUUUAAAUUCAUAUGUUUAUAAUUACACUCAAAAAACGAAGAUGCAGACCACUUUACCUUGAGGAUGUUACAGAAUGAAAUUAUCAUUCUGAAAACUGGUAAAUAAAGAGAAGGUAUCAAGUAAGCAUGUAUCUGGCUUUUUCUAUAUGAAAUAAAGGAAGCCAAAUAGUAAACGAGGGGAAGUUUCUCUUUACUGAAAUAUUGCAGGUAAUAAAAGAAGAAGGAGAAACAGAGAACAUUAUCGUUUUAUGGCCUCUAAUGGAACAAGACAUCUAGGCAAUGAUGAACUAUGGUCACCAACAUCACUCAAUCAGGGACAAUCAGACACUGUGGGCCCCUGAAGGAAGUAAACACCACCACGUAGGAAAUAUUCUCACCAAAACUUCAAAAACUUGAAUCUGAUCUAGUCUUUAGUUUCAACUACUAAUUUACAGGCAAUACGGGGCUCAGAGGGAUGUGGUAAAAUGUCACGGAAAUAUAAUCAGCAAAAUCCAGUACAGAUAAUAAGAAGACAAAUGAUCCACAGAUGGAAAGGAAGAAUGUAAAGUUGUGUUGGUAAAGAAAUUCACAGAUUAAUAAAAGCUUAAAAAUGUACCA